GGUUGUAUAUGUCCAGGAAUUUAUCCAUUUUUCUCUAGGUUUUCUAACUUGUUGGCAUAUCAUUGUUUGUAAUAGUCUCUAAUGAUCUUCUAUAUUUCUGUGGUAUCACCUGUAAUGUCUCCCUUCUCAUUUCUAAUUAUAUGUCACACUGAUUGAUUUGCAUAUGUUGAGCAACCCAUGAAUCACUGGGAUAAAUACCUGGGAUCAUGUAAAAAUUUUAGAUUCAUGGGGUAAAUGUGCAGGUUUAUUACGUGGCAUAAUGAUGAGGUUUGUGUUUCUAUUGAUCUUGUUACCUGAAUAGUAAAUAUAGUACCCAAUAGAGAGUUUUUCAACCUUCCAUCACCCCAACUUCCCUUUGGAGUCCUCAUUGUAUUAUUUCUAUCUUUAUAUCUGUGUGUAUCCAAUGUUUAGUUCCCACUUAUAAGUGAGAACAUGACAUUUGUUUUUUUGUUUCUGCAUUAAUUUGCUAAGGAUAAUGGCCUCCAGUUGCCUUCAUGUUGCUGCAAAGGAAAUUUCAUUCUUUUUUAUAACUAUGUAGUAUAUUCCAUGGUGUGUAUGUACCACAUUUUCUUUAUCCAAUCCACCACUGAUGGGCCCCUACAUUGAUUUCAUGUCUUUGCUAUUGUGAAUAUUACUGUGAUAAAUAUGAGUGCAGGUAUUUUUUUAGC
rnacentral:lncRNA from 1 species